rnacentral:lncRNA from 1 species
AUGGGCACAAAAAGCAGGAACGAGUAGCGGUGGCUGAAGAACGAGCAGGAGCUUGAAUUUCAGUUUUCUUAUGAGGAAUUUUCCAGAAAAGAUAUCUUCACUGUGAAAUAACUAAAUAAAUGCCCACUCAGUACAACAGUGCCGAUGUAAUAGUAACAAAAAGUCUCAGCCUCAUUUAAGAUAAAAGGCCAUCAUCAGACAAUGCAGGACAGAUUGUAACAAUAGGAAGUACUACAGAGAUUCAGAGAAUGCCAUAAAUAACCUUGGAAUCCUGUGCUUGGGUCACUGUCUCCCUUUUGGAACUUGAUGGCACCUUAAGCCCAGGUUUGCCUCCACUCUAGAAACUCAUCAGAGUGAUGCCCUUCUCAAAUGGGGGAGGUCCCAAAGCGGAUAUCCUGGCAGUGUGAAAGGCCGGCUAAAGGUUUGUGCCAAGAGGAUCUGUGGAAUGCAUCUCCUACAGCUGGUGCUGCUGAGUAACCACUCUGAUCUGGCAUCUUCUUUGAUCAAGUUACAGAGCAGAGUUUCCAGGGCUGGGGAUUGAAGUCCUGCCUCCUCCCUUUGUCUCUGGUUGUCCUCGGUAAUGUUUUUCCCUCAAGCUUUCCCUGCACUCCAAACACAGAGCUGAGACUUCCACCUAAUGUAGAAAGCUAGCACGAGCCGGCGCUGACAGAUGGAAGACUUGAGAUGUUACAAGAUUAUAUAUGGAAACACAAAAGGAGUGGAGUUGCUGGGUCAUAUGGCAAUUCAUUUGAGGAACUGAGAAGCUUAUUCCAUGGAGGCUGAACUGUUUUAUAUUCCCACCAGCAACGUGUAAGGUUCCAGUUUAUCUACAUCAUCACCAACACUUGCUAUUUUCCAUUUCAUUAAUGAUAGCCAUCCUAGUGGAUUUGAAGUGGUACCUUAUUAUCGUGGUUUUGAUUGCAUUCUCUAUUGACUAAUGAUAUCGAGCAUCUUUUCAUGUAUUUUUUGGUCAUUUGGUCAUUUUUCUUUUUUAAUUUUAAAAUUUUGAGACAGGCUCUCACUAUGUUGCCCAGGUGGUCUCAAACUCCUGGGUUCCAGCGAUGCUCAUGCCUCAGUCUCCCAAAGGGGUGGGAUUACAGGUGUGAGCCACUUUGCCCAGCCCAUUUGUAUAUCUCCUUUGGAGAAUAUCUAGGUUCUUUUGAAGGUAGCUGCAUAUAAACUAGCCAAAUUAACAGACUGUGGUUUUUAGAUGGCUUUCCAUAUCUACAAGAACUAUUUAGUUCUCAAAACUGGGAAGAAAUGUUUCAGAGGCAUCAUUAAUUCAUAAUCUAAAAAUUUAUCUUGGGUUUCCUUUUUUCCCCCAGAUUCUGUAUCCUCCAUAGUCCUAUUCAUGACAUGGGUCGUUCAUCUCUGUAUUCUAAACCCUCAAUG